rfam:Babesia microti strain RI chromosome II, complete genome.
GCCACUAUAGCAUAGUGGUAGUGCGUUGGUCUUGUAAACCAAAGGUCGGGGGUUCGAUCCCCCCUAGUGGCU